rnacentral:rRNA from 1 species
GAUGAACGCUGGCGGCGUGCCUAAUACAUGCAAGUCGAGCGAACGGACGAGAAGCUUGCUUCUCUGAUGUUAGCGGCGGACGGGUGAGUAACACGUGGAUAACCUACCUAUCAGACUGGGAUCACUUCGGGAAACCGGAGCUAAUACCGGAUAAUAUUUUGAACCGCAUGGUUCAAAAGUGAAAGACGGUCUUGCUGUCACUUAUAGAUGGAUCCGCGCUGCAUUAGCUAGUUGGUAAGGUAACGGCUUACCAAGGCAACGAUGCAUAGCCGACCUGAGAGGGUGAUCGGCCGCCCGGGAACUGGGACACGCUCAAGACUCCUACGGGAGGCAGCAGUAGGGAAUCUGCCGCAAUGGGCGAAAGCCUGACGGAGCAACGCCGCGUGAGUGAUGAAGGUCUUCGGAUCGUAAAACUCUGUUAUUAGGGAAGAACAUAUGUGUAAGUAACUGUGCACAUCUUGACGGUACCUAAUCAGAAAGCCACGGCUAACUACGUG